GUAAGUUUUUGCCAAAAAAAGGAACAAGUUAUUUAAAACAUCCAAACUACAUGCUACUACCACACUAAAAGAAUCUUCAGCAAUCUACAAGAUAUCUUCUUUUAUGUUCAACAUAAGAAAGCAACUCAUACAGGUUUGGAACGACAUGAGGGUGAGUAAAUGAUGACAGAAUUUUCAUUUUUGGGUGAACUAUCCCUUUAAGCUGAGGCUCAGAACACUUUACUGCUCUCUUGUGGUCAUUUGGUGAAUUACUUUAGUUCGAAAAGACUUAUGCAUCUGCAAAAAAGAUUUAAAUGGGUAAAGAUGCCAUUGAUGCUUAAUAAAUUUAAGACGCUCACUGGAUUUUUGUCUAGUCUUUUUUUUUUUAUUAGAACAUUUUUUGAAUUAAAAUUCUGAAAGGGUGUGAAAUUUUGAAGAGCAUUUCCUGUGAGAGGCGGCUGAUAGGAAAUGUGAAAAUAGCCAACCACAGUGCAACAUGACAUGCAGACUUCACUCACAUACUGCAUUAACAACUAUUGCAAGACUUUACCAAGCAGCAGAGAUCAGAGGGAUGUCAUUUUGAAUUCAGCAGAUGAAUGGAUAAAAAUGACUUCCAAUCAGUCUGAGGGUGAGCUGAGACUUAUAUAUAUAUAUAAUUCUGAACUAAACUGAGACAAGACAGACAUUUAUUAAAUGAAUAAAUUAAUUCUGAACUCAAAAAUCUUCACCGAUGUUAUGAACGGCAUAAAAAAAAGUAUAAUAAAAAAAAAAAUAGACAUAAUAAGAUGUCUAAACAUUAUUAUUUUAAUUUUUUCUCAGCUCUUUCUCAACCUUCCACACCUUUAGCAACCUUUUCAAUAAUGGCCGUGUUGUCCAUCAUGUGGUGUCUUAUUUUUUUAUUGGUAUUCAGUAUCUGCUUGUUUUUAUUUAAAAUCCCACAGAACAAAAAUCAAAAAUCACAACUGAAAACUCCGGAAGAUGAGGUCACGGAUGCAGAUGUUUAUUUAAAUGAGGCCUCUGAGAAGAUGAAGAAACGAGAAAAACAUAAAAGUUACAAAGAGAGGGUAAACUCAGUGUACUAUGAGUGGAUUAGGGAUCACUCACCACAGAGGAAUCCAAGCAAUUCAGAUUGUACAGUACAGUACACAUUGUAAACUACUGGACUGCUCUUUAAAGAGAGAGAGAGAGAGAGAGAGCUUUGUUCUUGUUUUAGUAAUAAGAAAUGUAUGUGUUAUAAGUGCAAACACCAUUUGUUUUCAUUGAUCAUGAUAAUCCAUAAGAGGGCGCUGUUGCAACUUAAUCACUAAUAAGGUGAGCUUCAUAAACAACAAAUAUUAAAGGGUUAGCUCACCCCAAAAAUGAAAAUUCUUGUGUCAUUCCUAACCUUUAGGCCUUGUUUUUUUCUUCUUCUCCCAUACAAGUUUAGAACAACAUUGGGUUGAGUAAAUGAUGACAGCAUUUUCACAUUUUUGGUUGAACUAUUCCUAUAAAUACUUGACAGACUGAAGUACUUUAUGUGCAAUAAAUUUCUUCCAACAUUAUUAGACCUACUGAAA
ensembl:lncRNA